UACAUUUCCCCCUCCUUUAUUUUAAUCUCAGUGUGUUGGGUAAAGGCGUGAGUCUGGACUGCUAUGAGAUUCAAAUAACGGUAAAGGAUUAUUGUUUCGGUCGUGCGGACCGGGUGGUCGGGAUCGCAGUACUGCAGCUGCGUGACAUAGCAGACCGGAAAAGCUGCGUGUGCUGGUGCCCCUUGGGCCCUCGUAUCAACAUCGAUGAAACCCGGACCACCGCACUACGAAUCCUCUCUCAACGCUCAACUGAUGAGGUUGCCAAAGAGUUUGUCAAACUAAAAUCUGAGACCAGGCCUGCUGAAGAAGGGAGAUGAAGAUGAAACUCAAGAUUGAACUCUUCAAUUUAUCAUUAGGAUUAAAGUGGACUGAUUUAAACAGAAGUAACUGAGUACGAGACAAAUGAAAAGACUGACAGACACACAAGCAUUCACAAACUAAGGACCUACACUGUUUAUAAAAUUGUGUAUGUUUAUUCAGAGCCUUAAGAGUCACUUAACUGUUUGACUGGCUUUGCAUCACUCUUCAUGAUGGGCAACUACUCACAAAAUGAGUGCUAGCAUUGAGAAUAGUGUUCCCACGGUCAUGGAAAAUCUGGAAAUAUCAAGGAAAAGUUAUGGAAACUAAUAGAAUCCUAAAAAGUAAUUACUAAAAUAUUGAAUUGGCUAGUAAUCUCUGCAUUUGUGUUUUACAAAAAUCAUCUAGUUAACCAAACAACUUGAAAAUUCAAUAAUAAAAAAAAAAUCUUAAAUCAGCACUAAAAUAUUUUGUUGGCUCGCAAUUGAUAUUUAUGAGUGCAGUCUCUGCAUUUUUGUUUUACAUAUAAUAUCUAGUUAAUUAAAUGAUUGGAAAAGGUAUGCAAAUUAAAUCUUUAACUGAGCACGAAAAUAUUUUGUUGGCUAGAAAUUUAUUUGUGGGUUUUAUUUAUUUUUUUUUUUUUUACAAAUAUUAUAUAGGCAUUCAAAUGACUGUAAAAGUCCUGGAAAUAAUAAUAAUAAUACAAAUUAAAAAAAAACUUAAAGUCAGCAUUAAAACAAUUUGUUGGUUAGAAAUUGCUAAGUGCAGUUUCUGAAUUUUUGCAAAAUUGUUUACAAAAUUAUAUAGUUUAUUAAACAGCUGGAAAGGUCACUGAAAUGUAUUGGUUAAACAUUGUGGGAGCCCUGUGAGAAGAGAAAAGCAGAACUAUUACUUCACAGUUAUUCAAAGCACAUUGUAAUGAAAGGUAUCAGUAACAUUGUGAGAACAAAAAAUGCGUGGGUUUUGCCAAACCAUGAGUCUGUGGGCUCAUAACACAUGUUCUCUGUGGCCUUCUGAAUGGGAGGAGUGUAAUGGCUGGGGGAGUGGUCUAUUCUACCUAUUCUUUGAUUGACAGGCACAGAUAUGCACAUUUAGACAUACACUUUUCUCUAUUAGUCUUGAUCACUGAUGUGUUCCAGAAAUCUUAUCUGUGAUACCUUCAAUGCAUUCAUUUUUGUCGACUUCAACCACACCAAAUGCUUCAAUGAUCAUGAUUUUUCCCUCUAGCUUGUUUAUGGGUGUCUCAAAACUGAUACAUUCGCAAGUAAAAAAAAAAAGACAAAUAUAGACCAACCAGUAGUGCCAGCCAAUGAGAAGGGAUGUACUGUAUGAAACCUUGUUUACUUUGUGCCAAGUAGUUUGUAUGUGCUCUUUUUUGAGGUGUAAUGGAAUUAUAGUUUGUUUUGUUUGUAAUAUAUGCACAAUCAAACAGAUGUAAAAACAAUCUGUAAAGUAGACUACCACAUGUGCAUGUAUUUCUUGUAAAUUCCAGCUUUUGGACAUAUGUUUUAUUUAUGUUUUGUCAUUAUGUGGAAAGCUAUUUAUGUAUUUGCAACUGUGGAGGAGUUUGCAGAUUGAAUCCAUGUUCUGAAUUUAUUUAUAAAUGAUUUAUGAAUUAAUUAAUGAAUUUAAUGUGUCAUUCUGAUCUUGAUCUCAUCUGAUUCUGAUGCAUACUGUAUAUCUGUGGUUGUAAAACCUACUCUCGCUCUUUUUAACUUUCUAUAUGACUGUCGUUCCUCCUAAAUCAUUUCCUCUCUUCUUUCGUCUUCAGUAUUUAACAGCAGAAGCAUGUCAUUUUUUUAGUGUUCUUUCUCUCUUUAGAAGUUCCUCUAGAGGAGUCUGAUCCAGAUAUGGCAGGUUCAGCCUGGUCCAGGUUGUUGUUUAAAACCACCAGGCUGUUUCACUCCAUUGACCUCUGCCUUUAAAGAGGUGAUAUGUUUUAAAAAAUCAAUGAAACAGAGCAACUGAUUAUAAUUAGCUUUAUAUAAAAAAUGGAAGUCCUUGUUUAGAUGGUUAAGUAAAUGUGUAUAUCGUGUGUAUUUAGUCUGUGUGUGGCCUUGUGGUCAUAGUGAACAUGCUCAGUACUGCUGUACUUUGUCAGUGGUUAGAGGAAUGAGGGGGGAAAAAGGGUUGCUUCCUUUUUUGGUGUGCAGGAAAUCGAUACGUUUCUAGCAAGUAAGUGGCUGAUAGAGAGAGAGAGAGAGAGAGAGAGAGAGACUGUGAAAUGUAUAGAGAUCUUAACAAAAGUUUGACGAUCUGAGUUUAUUACACCGGAAGACCAAGAGUAAAUGUUACCGCAGAUAAAUUGUCACAAGAGUGGAACAAGAAAGAGUAACGCAAGAGAGCACUGCAAGUUGCCGCCUCUCUUCCUUGUUUAUCUUGAUUGUGUGGUGGGGUCAGUCUGUGUGUGUGUGCACGUGUGUGAAUGAGUCUAGGAUGGAUGCCUGCUCUCACUGUUUCCCAUCAUCGUAAAGUGAGAGCAGAUGGAAGACUGAGAAACAGGAGAAAGGAGGAGGAGAAAGAGAAAAUAAGAGGGCAAGACAAAGAGGAGGAGACUCUUUAGCUGACUUUUUGGCGAUCUCUGGAUGGAGAAAUAAGUCCCACACUAGACCUACACGCACUACGAUGUCACCGUAGGACACUUACGAGAAAUUAUGAUUAAUCUUGAAAAGGAAGAAAGGAAAGACAUGUCUCAUCUUUGGCUUAGA